rnacentral:rRNA from 1 species
GUAGGUGGCAAGCGUUGUCCGGAAUUAUUGGGCGUAAAGCGCGCGCAGGUGGGUUCUUUAAGACUGAUGUGAAAGCCCCCGGGCUCAACCGGGGAGGGUCAUUGGAAACUGGGGAACUUGAGUGCAGGAGAGGAAAGUGGAAUUCCACGUGUAGCGGUGAAAUGCGUAGAUAUGUGGAGGAACACCAGUGGCGAAGGCGACUUUCUGGCCUGUAACUGACACUGAGGCGCGAAAGCGUGGGGAGCAAACAGGAUUAGAUACCCUGGUAGUCCACGCCGUAAACGAUGAGUGCUAAGUGUUGGGGGGUUUCCGCCCCUCAGUGCUGCAGCUAACGCAUUAAGCACUCCGCCUGGGGAGUACGGUCGCAAGACUG